rnacentral:rRNA from 1 species
ACGCACGCUGGCGGCGUGCUUCACACAUGCCAGUCGCACGGAAAGGCCCUGCUUGCAGGGUACUCGAGUGGCGAACGGGUGAGUAACACGUGGGUGAUCUGCCCUGCACUUCGGGAUAAGCCUGGGAAACUGGGUCUAAUACCGGAUAGGAGCCAUUUUUAGUGUGAUGGUUGGAAAGUUUUUUCGGUGUAGGAUGAGCUCGCGGCCUAUCAGCUUGUUGGUGGGGUAAUGGCCUACCAAGGCGGCGACGGGUAGCCGGCCUGAGAGGGUGGACGGCCACAUUGGGACUGAGAUACGGCCCAGACUCCUACGGGAGGCAGCAGUGGGGAAUAUUGCACAAUGGGCGCAAGCCUGAUGCAGCGACGCCGCGUGGGGGAUGACGGCCUUCGGGUUGUAAACUCCUUUCGCUAGGGACGAAGCUUUUUGUGACGGUACCUAGAGAAGAAGCACCGGCUAACUACGUG